UACGUAGGGUGCAAGCGUUAAUCGGAAUUACUGGGCGUAAAGCGCAUGUAGGCGGGUCUGCAAGUCAGAUGUGAAAUCCCCGGGCUCAACCCGGGAACUGCAUCUGAAACUGCAGGCCUUGAGUACUGGAGAGGGUGGCGGAAUUCCUGGUGUAGAGGUGAAAUUCGUAGAUAUCAGGAGGAACACCGGUGGCGAAGGCGGCCACCUGGACAGUAACUGACGCUGAGAUGCGAAAGCGUGGGGAGCAAACAGG
rnacentral:rRNA from 1 species